CCUACGGGAGGCAGCAGUGGGGAAUAUUGGACAAUGGGGGAACCCUGAUCCAGCCAUGCCGCGUGUGUGAAGAAGGCCCUCGGGUUGUAAAGCACUUUCAGUGAGGAAGAACGCCUGGUGGUUAAUACCCAUCAGGAAAGACAUCACUCACAGAAGAAGCACCGGCUAACUCCGUGCCAGCAGCCGCGGUAAUACGGAGGGUGCGAGCGUUAAUCGGAAUUACUGGGCGUAAAGCGCGCGUAGGUGGCUUGAUAAGCCGGUUGUGAAAGCCCCGGGCUCAACCUGGGAACGGCAUCCGGAACUGUCAAGCUAGAGUGCAGGAGAGGAAGGUAGAAUUCCCGGUGUAGCGGUGAAAUGCGUAGAGAUCGGGAGGAAUACCAGUGGCGAAGGCGGCCUUCUGGACUGACACUGACACUGAGGUGCGAAAGCGUGGGUAGCAAACAGGAUUAGAUACCCUUGUAGUC
rnacentral:rRNA from 1 species